CACGGGGGGAGCAAGCGUUGUUCGGAAUCACUGGGCGUAAAGGGCGUGUAGCGGUCAGGUAAGUGGAAUGUGAAAUCCCUCGGCUCACCCGAGGCCUGCAUCCCAAACUGCCUGCUUGAGUAUGGGAGAGGAUGAGGGAAUUCCUGGUGUAGCGGUGAAAUGCGUAGAUAUCAGGAGGAACACCGGUGGCGAAGGCGCUCAUCUGGCCCAAUACUGACGCUGAGGUGACGAAAGCGUGGGGAGCAAACAGG
rnacentral:rRNA from 1 species